CAAUACGCGAGGAGCAAAUAGUCUACGUUGGCAGUGUCUAAUUGCGUUUGAAGUUAGUUUAGAGAUAUAGUCUUGGUAACGGGUCUAAUUGGUUCGAACCAGCAGCAGAAGGUCGAGGAACGAAAGUGCCAGGUGAAAAUCAUCCAAGAAAAAGUAAGGGGAAUAAAAAUGGUGUACACGAACAUCACCAGAUCGUCGAUCAAGGGAUCCCAUCCAGACGUUAGGAAGAAUAAAAGUGUACUUGCGUCGUCGGAAUACCAGCAGCAACAGGAGCAACCGAACAAGAAUAAGUACGGUUCGUGGGGUCCAGUUUACAAGAGCAAGCAAAACUUCAUCGACAUGCACCUCUGCUGAUGUUUCGCAUCAAAGAUGCCUCGACAUCCGGCGAUACCAUCGGUUAAAUGGUCCCCAACCUCGGAGGCAAACUAAUUUUUUCAUCAAUGUUACGAGAAUCUAAAGAAAAAUGGCGGAAUCGAAGUUGUGCGAGGCGUGGUUGGGGGACGACAUCUUGGAACUUUUAUCGAAAAUCAGUGCGGUGAAAGGAUACUAUCAUCGUUGGAGUCGAAAUUGUAUUGGAUCGAAUAAAUUGCCAUUGAUUGAAAUUUAAAUAACGAAAGGAAUGAUGUUCAUACUCGGUGUGGAAUUGUUCGUCGAGUUCACCGUCGAGUUUCUGUUUUUCAAAUGAAAACUACGAUAGAUGGACAAAGAAGAAAGAAUUCUCAAUUUCUUGCUUUUAUGUUAUAACACACAUAAUGAUCUUUCACGCGAUUUCCGUUCGAAAAGGGAAGAGAAGAUUAAGCCGUGACUAAACGUGACACGAUACAGAAAAGAAAAACGUACGUCGAGGACUAGUUCCGGCGGAUACGACGAAGACAAAGAACUACGGAAAAAAUAGCCGAUGGUAUUCCCUAGAGCUGACUGAACGUCUCAGCCGACACGCCGGAUGAAGACGGCACUGUAUCAUGCCAAUUUCUUUUUUUUUUUUACAUCUUCAAUAUCAUACCGACAAAUUCCAUAAUGAAAUAUUGUGUACUUUUUUUACAAUACACCUUGUAUAUAGUUUUCUUC